UACGUAGGGUGCGAGCGUUGUCCGGAAUUAUUGGGCGUAAAGAGCUCGUAGGCGGUCUGUCGCGUCGGUCGUGAAAACUUGGGGCUUAACCCUGAGCUUGCGGUCGAUACGGGCAUGACUGGAGUUCGGCAGGGGAGAGUGGAAUUCCUGGUGUAGCGGUGAAAUGCGCAGAUAUCAGGAGGAACACCAGCGGCGAAGGCGGCGCUCUGGGCCGGUACUGACACUGAGGAGCGAAAGCGUGGGUAGCAAACAGG
rnacentral:rRNA from 1 species